GGAUGCUGAGCUUGAGAGAGGCCCCUGAAGGUCGCUGAGAUGACCUUGGAGGGAAAGGAGGUGGUCCAUCCUCCACCCUCAGGGGGAGGCCGCCAGAGCCAGGGUGAUGGGGGGCAAGACCUGGGACUUAGCAGCCACUGCCAGAGUUUCACCCCCAGCCCCCUUGCUGGCUCUGUGGCCUCAGGCAAAUUGCUUAACCUCUCUGGCCGUCGUUUCCUCUUCUGAAGAAAUGGAGGUGAUGGAAUUCUCAGUCCUGACCAUAGGAGAAAGGAGGGCAUCUGCGCAGCACAUCUGGAAAAGGGCUUUGCCCAUCCUGAGUGCUUGGAAAAGGGUCUCCAGAGGGAGGGGCUGAGCGAGGUCAGAAGACCCCGAGUCCAGUCUGGCUCCUGCCCACCUAGUGACCCCCACCCUUGCUGGAGCCUCAGGCCCUGCCACGUCCAGGCCUGUGCCUCCCGCUCCUUCUCAGCAGGCCUGUCCCCAGCCUGUCCCCGUGUAACAGACGGACCUGGAGCAAGGAAUCGCCUCUCGGGGUCUUCGUCUGUUCACCUGUCGGAUGAGGGAGGGAGACCGAAGAAGCCCCAGGGCCCCCUUGCUGCCGGCCUUGCCCGCUCCCUGGCCCAGCACGCCUCUAGGGCUUGCCCUCGGCUUCCCCAUGUCCUGUGUCCUCAUGUCACCCGCCUGCCUCUCUAGUCGCUCAGAGGCAGGAGCCCACCUUCCUGCUGGGGCUGAAUGAGUGAGCAUCCACCUUGACUGAGGCCCCAGCCAGCUUCACCUGGGCCUGAGGGAGUGACCUUGGGCAAAACCUGGCUCUGGGCCUCAGUUUCGCCCACUAUAAAACAGACCUAAUAAUCUCUGUGUCUUCUUUGUCUUCCUGGGGAGGACGGUGAUGAGCCCUGGCAUCCAGGGGCAGGAAGGACCUUAAAUGAUAUUGAGUUCAACCCCAAAUCCAAUGCUUGAGGACCCCUACCAGGCCCCAGGCUGUGCUUGCAUACCUCUGGAGUGACGGGGAGUUCACUUUCUGCCCACCCAAUCCAUUCUAUCCAUUUGCUUGACAACAGUGACCGCAUCUAACAGGUGCCACACACAGUGGCAGGUUCUGAUGGCUCAAAAGUGAAUAGGGGCCAGGUGACAUAGAGGCAAUGACAUUGUUCAGGCUUGAACCCUGACUGUUUCUGCCUCUUCUUAGCUCUGUGUGGCCCCUGAGAGUCUUAACCGCAUUUCCUCAUCUGUAAAUGGCAGUCACAGCUCCCCGCCUGUGAGGUCACUGGAAAGACCUCCCCCAGGUGAGCUGGAGACCCUGGGGCACGAGCUCAGUCACUCUUGGGGAGCAGGUGCCAUCGUUGUCUCAAUUUUUCAAAUGAAUUUUUCAGAGGCACAGAGAUGUUAAGCAACUACCCUGAGGUCACACAGUGAGUGUGACAGGUGGAGCCCAAGCUGGGCCCCGGCUGCCUAUGCCCGGGUCCCUUGUACCUCACACCUCUCACAAGGGGCCUGCUCAGCGUAGCCCAGUUCCCUUCACACGAUGCAGGGGCAUGAGCGCUCCGUGCUCCCCAGAAGCCUCAGACCCAUUCAGCCUCCUUUUCUUAGAGGGCAAGUGGGGCCGGUGGUUUUCCACUGUUAUUUUUAGCUCUGCCCCCACUGUAUUGUUUCGGAUCCAGAGAACGGAGCCUCCGAGGUCCUGCGAGUGUCCAGCCAGUGUCCGGGGGGUAUAACCUUAGCGGGCUUGCAUAGGAGCAGUGAUGACAAGGCUACCGGAACCUGAGCUCCCCGACCCCCACCCCACCCCCACGGAGACUCGGAUCCACUGCGAGUGACUCAACAGAAGCGGCCCUGCCCCCAUCCCGUCCAACUGGCGUCCACAGGUGGGGAGAGAACAGCGCUCCCAGAAGCCGGAUGAAAGGAGUCGCUCCGGGUCACGAGCUUGGCAUUUCCCAGCUCCGCCUCCGUGUCCACUCACCUCCAAGGUCAGCCUCUGCAGAGCCACACAACCCGCGGGAGGGACCCCUCCAGGCCCCAGGGGGCUGGCAAGGAGGACUGGGAUGGGACAGCAGCCACCGUGUGGUACAGAAGUGAAUCCUGUGGCCCCCACCUGUCUGGGAGCGAGUCUGGGCUCUGCCGGUGUGAUGCUGGGUGAGAAAACAGGCCCAGAGAAGGUGGGUCCUUGCCCAGGCUCACACAGCUACGGAGCAGUAGAAGCUGGCAUUUGAAACUGAGCCCCAAGACAGAUUCGUGUUGGCAGAUGUAUAAACUGAAUACUGACCCUCCAGAGAGAUCCACGCCCUAAUCCCGGGAACCCCUGUGAAUGUCACCUCCCGAUGGCAAAGGGAUUCUGCAGAUGGGAAGAAGUGAAGGAUCUUGAGAUGGGAACAUUAUCCCCGAUUAUCCAGCUAUAAGUCCCGGGAUCUUCCAGCUCAACCAGCCCAUUUUACUGACGACGUGGAGCCUGAGGCCACAGUUAGGGGUCAACUUGCCCCGUCCCGCCGAGAUGAGUGGCGGGAGGGCGCUGUCUCCUGGCACAUCCUGGGGGUCCUUGCUCUGCUCUUCUGGACUCCAGCCCUGGGCAGCCUGGGCGAAAUCAUCUAGUCCAAACCCAUUUUCCGAGUGAGGAAACUGAGGCCUGGAGUUGUCCGAGAGUUGGACUCGAGUCCCUAAGUGACAGGGGAUGUGCAGGCCCUGAAUCCCCAGGGAGUCCUCUCGGCAAGGCCCUCCCCUCCCCCUCUGGAGCGCCGCUCCUCCCCGUGUAUCCCCAGCAGACAGGGGCCAGCGGGGUCUGGGAAAACCACAUCAGGAGCGGCCCAGCUGUGGUGCAGGAAUUCGAGAGCAGCUCCUUAGUGGCCUUCAGCCUGGGAAAGCUCUGAGGCCUUCCUGUCCCCGCCCGCCUUGCCGCUUAGGGCCAGCCCUGUCCCCAAGGCUGUGAGAAGUCGCCUGGAGGCAGUGUCCAGUGGGGUGGAGGAAAGAGCGGCCUAGAAUGGAGGGACUUGAUCCCCGAUCCUAAGCCAGUUAGUGGCAUUAUCCUGGAUUAUCCUAAACCGAGCUCAGGGCCCUGGGCUUGUCUAGGGGAGCAUAGGUCUCCCUGCCCCCGGCAUGUGGGGGUUCCAGUGGUGCCCUAACACCCAGCGACACAGGCACAGUUCUUACAUAAAGCAUUCACACCCACUGGCACCCUCAGACCUCACAACAACCCUGUAACGGCGAGGCUGCUGCUGUCCCAUUUUACAGAUGGAGAAACUGAGGCUCGGAGAGAGAAAGGGACUCUCCCCAAGUCAAGGUCCUGUGGUGGCAGCACUGGGACUCUGCUAACUCCGUGAGUUCUCGCGAUGACCCUGGACUCGUCUCUGGCAAUUCGGUCCCAGUCUUGCUGUGGGGCCUUGAGUAAUCUCCCUCUCUGAGCCUCGACUCUCCUCUGUGAACUAGGACAUAAUAAUAGUAUCCACCUCAUUGGGGCGCCUGCGGAAUCACCGAGUGCGUGAGCCCCGCGCCUGGCACGCGGUGAGCGCUCCAUCUUCGCUGAGCCUCAUCACCAUCACACUAGCCGAUUGGAUAACCGCAAAUACUACUGCGCGGGGCCAGGAGCCCAGCACAACACGCCCUGCCCCCGGGGCUGGGGGAAGACGCCAAUAAACACACAGGUCCUGCGGGAGGUGAAGGAACGACCACGAGAGCAAGGAGGGGGCUGCCUGGCGUGUUCAAGCAACACUGAAGAGGCCAGUGUGGUCCUAGGGGGUUAGAGACGCGGCAGUGGCAGGAGGAGAAACCAGAGAGGUGGGGGGUGGGGCAGAGCCACCGACCACGGUGGCCUUUGGGCGGACAUCAGCUUUCCUUGAGCCAAGUGGGGAGCCAUCGCAAGGUGUCCUCAUUGUCCACUAAACGCUCAAAGCCUGAAAUGGGCCCUUAGACCCUGGGUCACUGUCUGAGGAGUGGAAUGGCCACCCGCUAGCUAACCACCCUCCUGCGCCCAGGACCCGCCCACGGCCCCGCCCCCUCCCUGCGAUGCUCCAGAACCCUGAGAAUCAGGUGGUCCUAAAGUGUCAGCGCUCAGAGGGACCUUGGAGGCCAUUUGGCUCCAAUUACAGAUGAAGAAAGGAGGCUGGGGCGCGGAGGGGAAGGGGCUUGUCCGGGGCCUCUCAGCGCAUCCGCGGCUGUGCCAGCUGUGACGCCCAAGGCUCCUGCCUCCUGGAGCAGGGCCCCUCCCGCUGCAGAGCCCUCGGUGAACGGGACGUUUUGUUCUUCUGGCCCAGAUCCAAGGAGUCCCCAGGGACACACUCUGGUUUGCCUUUGCCAAAGGCCUCGCCAGCUAAGGGUCCCUUCUAGGCUGUGGGGCUGCAGCCAUGUCUGGCAGAAGCUGCGCCCUCCUGGGGCCGGCCUCCCGCCUGCACCGGCAUUGAGGAGUCCGCGUGCAUGUGAGGAUGGGCACCCUGUGCAGCUCCUCAUCCCAGGCACCCUGCUCCCAGGGCUUCCAUUCCAAGCACAGACAUCGAAACACAAUAAGCAGCCGCUCACUGCCCACUUCCGGGGUCACCCUGUUGGAGCAAGAAGCUCCUGACCUCUCUCCCCACCCCGUGGAUGUUCAUGGUGGUUCUGUAGCUGCCACUACCGGCUCCUCAGCUGCAGUUCAAGGGGAGGGAACACCAGCCAUUCAUACUCUCUGAUCUUGCAUUCAUUCAUCUCUCUAUCUUCUUGCCCAUUGGUCCAUGCAUUCAUCCAUACACCCACCUGCCCAAUUGCCCCACCCACAUAUCUAGCCUUCCAUCCAUCCAUCCAUCCAUCCAUCCAUCCAUCUAUCCAUCCACUGAUCUGAACAGCCACCAGUCUGUCUGAUUGUUACUGGUCCAUCGUCUCAUCCAUCCAACCCGUCCAUCCAGCCAUCCAUCAAUCCAUCCAUUCAUCCAUCCUAUGCUCUCUCUCUUACACCUACUGUUUGCCCAAAAACCUCUCUCUCUGCCUGUGCGUUGGUCUACAUAUCCAUCAUCCACCUAUCCCCUUACCAACUUCCCUGCCCGUCCGUCCAUUCCCUCACCUUCCUCCCAUCCAUCCAUCUCCCCACUCCACUCCCACUGCUCUGCCAACCAACCUGUCAGCCUGUCUCUUGGUCCAUCUACCCCUUCAUGCAACGUUCACGGAGGCAUAUCCUGUGGGACUCAGCGUUGUAACUAUAGCACCUACAGUAAUAGCUGCCACUUACUGGACACUUGUUUUAUGCCAGACACUCUACCUACGUUCUCACUUAAUCCUCACAACAACCUGUCGUCGUUUGACAGAUGAGGGAACAUGCUGGAUGGCCUCAAUUAGACAACUGUCAAAUUGCUUCAUUCCAAGAGCAGCUUUACAAGAUAGAUGCUGUCAUCAUUUUGCAGAUGUGGAAACUGGCCAUGCAAUUUGCCUGAAGUCACAGCAGUAAUGAAGGACAGGAUUUGGACGCAAGUGUUCUGACUCCGAGUUCCAUCCUCCUUCCUUCUGACCACCGCCUCCUGAGACCCGAUGGCCAGACCUGGCUGCCCCGAGCCAGGCAGGACCGGGAGAUGAGCUGGGCCAGGGGAACCUCUGAGAUCCGGCCUUGGACAUGGCUUGGCCCAGUGUGAACCCACGGAUGACCCCAUUUCACUGGCUCGCUCCACAAAUAUCCUUCACUGAGUGUGUACCGCCUCAGGGCACAGCCCCGGGGACUCCGUUCCUCACCUCCGCUUCAGGGCAGGCGACCCAGCCAGGGGGAAGGGUGCAGCCCCGCAAGAAGAGGAGAGUGACGUCUGCUGCCAGCUUGCUAUGAGAGCACGACGUUUCCCUCGGUUUUCUCAUCUGCCCAACGGGCUAGCAGCACUCGCCUCGGAGGAGUAAGUGAAAUGAUGUGAUGUGAACACGCUCCCCACGCCCUCUCCUCUCCCUUGCUUCUGUGCAAUAACAGGGCUGGGCUCGAGCGGACGUCCCAAGGCGGGCUCGUGGUUGGACUUCAGGAGCAGGAGCCCCUGAAACCAUAGGCCGUGUUUGUGUGUGCACGUGCAGUCUUCACCAAGAAGGCCUGUGUCUUUCAUCAGAUUCUCAAAAGGCUCGUGACUUAGUUGCUAAUGAUUAUAAUCACUAAUUGAGUGCUGACUUAGAGCCAGCACCUGUAAGUGCUCGGUGCUUAGUACACCUUACUUCAUUUAAUUCUUAGUAGACAGUAGAUGGAAUAGUGAUUGAGCUCAGGAACUCUAGAGCCUCAUUGUCUGGGAUCAAAUCCUGGCUCCGUUGCUUCCCAGCUGUGUGACCUUGGACAAUGACCUAACCACUCGGUGCCUCAGUUUCCUCAGAUCUAAAUUAGAUGACAAAGCUAUUUGCUUCAUAGGGUUGUUUUGAGGAGUAAAUACAGGAACAGAGCUUAGAACCAUGCCUGCCCCUAAGCAAGAGCUCAGUAAAUACUGUCUUAAAGUAGAUGAGGAAAUGGAGGCUCAGAGAGGUCAAGGAACUUGUCUAUAGUCAACCAGCUGGGAAAGAGCCCAGAUUCUAAGCCUGGUGGUCUGAGACUGGAGCCCUUGCAUUUAAUGGAUAUGCUCACUGUGUGUUCUUGAAAAGACCCUGACUUCAUCCCACAUGCACCCUAAUUCUUACAUUCAAGGCUCUAGAUUUUACUGACAAGGGAGAGGUUCUGGCCACACUGGUCUCCAAGGUUCCCUGACAUUCUGACACUUGAGACUUCCACUGUGCGAGUCCCCCCAUCUGGGGACCGUUGACCCAGCAGGCUGACAGGCCUCCAGAGGAGCAGCAGAGAAAGAGCGAGAGAGCACGUGUGGGCACCUGAAUGUGUGCACAUCCCCUUCCCGUGCCGCCCCCCUCGAGCCUCCACAGGGUGCAGCUCCCAGGCCUCCCUGCACAGCCUCCCAGGAGAGGCGCCCCCGCAGACUCCGCUCCCUCCCGGCGCCAUGUGACACUGGCGGGUGGUGUGGGAGGGAGGAGGAGAUGAGCUCGUCACUGGCUGACAGCUCUCCCUCUGGGGCAGGGAGCUCCCUGGCUGCAACCCUACCCCAGAUGGCUUUUAACAGAAGAGGAAACAGAGAAGUGCUUUGCUGGGCCACUUCCUGGCUUAGCAGGACCUGGGCAAGCAUCACUUCUCAGGGCCUCGUUCUGCUCAUUCAUAAAAUAAGGACAAUUGCUCCUAUGCCACUGGGCUGUGGCGGACACGACAGGAGAAAAGGCAUGUGUGUAAAAUACCCAGCCCCACAGACUCCACACUCUCAGGUCCUCUCCAUCCUGUUCCUCUCUGGAGGAAGAAGGGGACUCCUGGUCUGAGACCAGAAGUGGCAUCCUUUAGCAUCUUGUCUCAGGGACGGGAGUUCAGCUGAGGCAAUGGCUGGAGACCUGGUGUGGGCUGGGGUGGCCUGUGCAGGUGACGAAGCCACAGGUACUUGAUAUCAGCAAAAUGGCCCAGCACAACUCCAUCUGUGGCCUCCUGGAGCUGAGCGAAUGAGCUCCCUUCUCCAACAGACCUCAGGCUCCACUUUGUUCAACUGAGUCUCCAAGAACUCCACCAGCCGUACCAUCCUGUGGGCUGGGUGGCUAUCUCAAAGCGCACACGGCCAGAGGGUGGCAGUGGGGGAGCCUUCUCCCUACUCUGCAUAUUUGCUUUCCAACAAAUACCUUUUAGAGCACCGACUACAUGCUAGGUGCCAGGUUCUAGGUGCUGGGGGUACGGCAAUGAACACGAGACUGUAGGAAGCUGAUAUUCCGGCGCGGACAGUCAGACUGCACUCGGCAGGUAGUGAGGAGUUUGUGCUUAGUGCCGUUGAGUCGAUUCCGACUCCUAGCGACCCCGUGUAGAGCACAGCAGAGCAGACGCCUGCCCAUCUUUUUGCGCCAUCCUCUCAUCCUCUGGCGCUGUUUCAGAUGGUGCUCUGCUGCUAUUCACAGCGUUAUCAUGGCCAAUUUUUUCAGAAGUGGGUGGCUGGGUCCUUCUUCCCAGUCUGUCUCAGCCUGGAAGCUCCGCCGAAACCUGUCCAUCACGGGUGACCCUGCUGGUAUCUGAAAUACCAGUGACAUAGCUUUCAGCAUCACAGCAACAUGCAGCUGCCACAGUAUGACACCCAACAGGCGGGUGAUGUGGUUCCCUGACCAGGAAACGAACCCGGGCCCCGGCAGUGAGAGCACUGGCUCUUAACCACUAGACACCAGGGCUGGCUAGUGAUAAGCACUGUGAAGGACCACAAAGCAGACGGAGGAGACGUGGAGGGACCGGGUGCUCAUUAGGCCGAGGGUCAGAGAAGGCCUCCUCCAUGGGAGACAUCUGAGCAGGACCAGAGGAGCCAGGUGGGGGCCACGUGAGGAUCUGGGGCAAGAGCAUUCUGGGCAGAGGUCAACUGCAAGGCGCUGAGUCUCCAACUGCCUGUCAGGAUUGAGAAUCGUCAAGAAGUCCCCGGGGCUGUGCGCAGUGAGCCGGGCGGUGGGGGGACGCGCAUGGGGGGAGAGUGGAAAAGGUGGGGGCAGGGGAGGUGAUAAGGAAUUUGGCUUGGGGUCCUGAGCUUGAAGGGCUGGUGAGGAGUCUGCAGGCCCAGCCUUGCCUGCCCAGGCUGGGGAGAGGGGACACAUUUUGUGGGGUCAGUCCUCUGAGACCCCAGAUCCCCACAGUAAGCCACUUGGACCUAGCGCCUGCACAAGAACACGCUCUUGAAAUUCUGGGUUCAGCCUAAGAGCCUUAAAGCACCAGCGGCUCAUCUGGGCCAGCCCCCUUUGCUCACAUAAGCCCACAUGGCGGAUAAAGAAAUUGAGGCUCAGAGGGGAGAAAUGACCUCCCCGGGGACACCCAGCCCCCGAGUGCGUCUGCAUCCUGAGAUGCGCUCUUCCCACUUUGGCAUACUGCAGCCCUCUUUCAAAAUGAUGUUUGUGAACAUUAGUCUCAGUAAAGACAGCUAAAAAGCAUGGGUUGGAGAUGUUUUUAGCUGCCUGUAAGCCAGAUAAAAGGUUCUGUUGUUGCAAAAAUGCUCUUCUUGUGUAUGCUAUAAGCAUCCAUCAAUUUCCGAAAUUAUCCAGCCUCCCUAACGAGAAAUGACGGGCGCUUUCUGAAUUUGAGAUGAAGAGGGCUUUUUUUGGUUGUUGGUGGUGGUUUACUCAUAUCAGACUCUUUUCCUGCCCUGAGUGUAAUAUCCUAAGUUUCAGGGAGGCAGAGGCUGUUUUUUUUUCAUCUCUGCAGCCCUGGCAGAGGAGGCUUCUCCUGAGUGGCCGCUCGGACACCUACAGUUGUGUGACGCUCUAUAUUCACACGCAGGUAGAUCAGCAUAUAGUAUGGUUAUUGAACGAAUGAACGACUGAAUGAGUUGGGCUCAAAAAAGGCACGUCUUCAGGUUCUACGUAGCCAGGGAUCACCAGCCUGAGACCUCUGCCUUAGGGUAAAGAGGAGAAGUCAUAUUUUUAGGGGAGGAUGAUAAGCCAGGAAUCAGUCAAAAAGCUGACAAAAGAAAUUCCAAAUUUGGGUCCCCUGUCCAGAGCGAAGAUGCAGGCACAUCAAUGCUAGAAGGGACCAGCAUGAGUCAGUUGUCACCAGGUUAUGCUGCAUAACAAGCAAACCCAAAUCUCAGGUUCUUACAACAACUAUUUAUCUCUCGCCCCUGUUGCAUGUCAGUGGCGGGGGGCCCAGCUGCAGCAGCUGUGUGGUCCAGGCUGUGGUCAGGGUCACCUCGGCUCCACAGGCCUCUAGUCCCAGGACGCAGGCUGAAGAAGCAGCUCCUGUCUGGGAUGUUACGUCUCAAGGCAGAGGGCAGGAGCUCGACAGGGAUGGGACAGCUCCCAAUGGCUCUUGAAGCCUCCACCACAAACCAUCACACCGUCACUUAGGCCCACAUUUUGGGGUUCAAUCCAGUCACAUGGCCAAGACCAACAUCAAUGAGCAGGACUGAUGAUGAAUAUUUGCUAACAAUGGUAUAAUCCUUACUAGGAUUUAGGGACCCCUGAGUCCAGCAGAUUCGAAACUGUUCUCAGAAGCAUUCUCCAACCCUCUCGGGCCACAGAGAAUGAAGGAAGAGAGGGGUACCAGUGGACAGGGCUCGGGGACCGCCACCUCCAGCAACAACACCUCACUGUGAGGUGGCCACGUACAUUUUCAUUUGAAAGCUGCUUUAAAAAAAAAAGAUUUUAAAAAAUCAUUGGUCUAACACAAGUCCUCCGUAUUACAGACAGGGAGACAGAGACUUCACAAGGAGACACACGUGAAGCUGAUCAGUGGCAGAGCUGGGACGCACGCCCAGCAAGAGACCUCUUCAGACAGCACCCAGGUCAACAUGUAUUCAUAUAUUCAUUCAACAAAUAUUUACUGCCCAAUAACUCUGGGCGAAAUUUUGGCAAUCAUAGCAUUCUCCUUCAUUCAGUCUAUAUUUUGACAACUUACUUGGUGCCUCAUUCAUUCAUUCAUUCAAAAACUAUUUUCUGAGGGCCUACUAUAGGCCAGGCCAGGCUACAGGCACUGGGCAUACAGCGGUGAAUAAAACCAAUUUUCUGACCGUGGAAUUUGCAUUCUAGGGCAGACACAGAUAAUAAAUGAAAUAAACUAUAUAUGUACAAAGUGUGAUAAGCACUAUGAAGAAGAAAAAAAAAAAAAGCAG